GCUUACGGCCAUAUCACGUUGAAAGCACCGGUUCUAGUCUGAUCACCGAAGUUAAGCAACAUUGAGCCUAGUUAGUACUUAGAUGCGUGACCGCUUGGGAAACCUAAGUGCUGUAAGCA
rfam:Octopus bimaculoides Scaffold8730_contig_18, whole genome shotgun sequence.